rnacentral:rRNA from 1 species
GACGAACGCUGGCGGCGUGCUUAACACAUGCAAGUCGAGCGGUAAGGCCCUUUCGGGGGUACACGAGCGGCGAACGGGUGAGUAACACGUGGGUGACCUGCCCUCAGCUCUGGGAUAAGCCUGGGAAACCGGGUCUAAUACUGGAUAUGACUCCAUGACGCAUGUUGUGGGGUGGAAAGCCUUGUGCGGCUGAGGAUGGGCCCGCGGCCUAUCAGCUUGUUGGUGGGGUGANGGCCUACCAAGGCGACGACGGGUAGCCGGCCUGAGAAGGCGACCGGCCACACUGGGACUGAGACACGGCCCAGACUCCUACGGGAGGCAGCAGUGGGGAAUCUUGCGCAAUGGGCGAAAGCCUGACGCAGCGACGCCGCGUGAGGGAUGACGGCCUGG